rnacentral:lncRNA from 1 species
GAUGCUUUAUUAUUAUGAAAUGAAAAUUAUUGUGUAUUAUCUGCUCAUCCCCAUGUACUUAACCAAUACCUGUCCUCUAUCCUUCAAUAGGAAAUUCUGGCUACCCCUUAAAGUCAUGGAUGCUUGUGUCCUUCGGAAAUUCUGUGAACACUGGACACAAAUGCUACAACCAGCUAUAUAAAAGCAGGUUUUGUUGUCUUGAUGGAACUAUAAAUGCUUCUGCAAAAUAUGGCCAGGAAUAAGAAGCUUCUACCAGAUAAUGAGGAAGUUCUGAAUGAGAAGUCAAGAACUAUCUGAAUGUGGGGAUUGUCAGACAUGUCUUACCUAGGAACCCAGAGUGUGUGUUUCAUGGUGCAACAUUAUUUUAUAUAAGGGAGAAAAACACACCUCAAAGACAUUUGGUUUCUUCAUUUUUGUUCCUUGUUUGCAGGUCUCUAACUGCACCCACCGUGAAUCCUGCUCUUUUUUUCUAAUUAUUUAAAAUGUAUAUUAAAAUCAUGGCUUUUCAACUACUCUCAUGAGUGUGUGUAUGUGGAUUGUUUGAAUUUGAAGAAACAAAUAAAAUCGCUCCUACACAUAUCAGAACAUGGCAGCUCCCACGUUACGACAAAAUCAUUCACAUACGACAUGAAUGAACCAUAGAUAAUUAUUUUAAAUGUAAAAAAAUAAAUACCAUACAACUCAACGAAUUUGCUAAGAAAUUACACAUUUGUUUAUUCCUCCAUUCCACUUCCAGGGCUCCUAUUGUCAUGUAGAACUGUACUAAGUUCAGUGGUAUCAGAAAAUGUUGCACCUAGAGUGAAUUGUGAGGUUGGUUAGUGAGGUGGUGGUGGUGUCUUGUUAUUGAAAUGGCGCUGUAGAGUAUCUGCCACUAUACACCUGACAGAGACUGCUUGAUUCCACAUUUUACCUUCUGUUGCAUCAACAUUCUAUCUUCUAUAAUUCUGUGAAGCACAGAUGUCAUGAGCAGGUAUAGCCCCCCAUGGCUGGGGAGUUAUGCAUCGUGCCAUUUCAGCUGUUGCUUGUGUCUGUAUGGGAAUGCAGGCUCAGCUUUAUUAAAGAGAUUGAUGUCUACCAGUGGAAAAGGAUCAUCAUGUGGCGGUUGUUGAAUUAGCUCCAGCUUAAUAGGAUCUAAUCAUGUGUUUUUUUAUUCAACAUCUUCUUCACCUUAUCAUGUCGUCUCCAAUUUUGUAAAAGUUCUUUGAUUACAAUCUGAUGUUCGCAGGCAGGCUAAUAUUUUAGUGAUGCAUUUUGCACGAGUGCUUGAAAUCUCUUCAUCAUUUGAUUUAGAUUAUACUGCAAGUCCCUGAAUGCAACACUGAUACUACUGGCCUAUCCUGUCACCACUUACUAAUGAUUUUUUUCCAUCAUAAAAAAAUACAACCCAACAUUGGCUACAUAGCAACAUAAGGUAACAUCUCCCCACUACAAUUUUCAUGGUAACCUAUACUCGUGCAUUUACCAAGCAUGAAAGCAAAUUGGAAGCUAAAUGAGCAUCCCCACUACUUAAUGGUUAUUGGACAGUACCUUUUAUAGCAGUUCCCAAAUUUAUUAUCUUUUUUUCAUGAAAGUAGCAAAAAUUUAAAUCAAUUGUCACCCUUUGCCUCCCAACCAUUUAUAUUUGCCGCUAUCCAAUCCACUGUCUCCCUAUAGAUUACCACGGUCAGUGGUAUUCUGAAUCCUGAGUAAUAGUAAGCUGAGAUGGUGCGGGCCACUACCAGUCACACAUUUGUGCUCCAUGUUGGCCUUCAAAUUCUUUUUGGUUCUGAAGACUAGGUUCUCCCUUGGACCUAAAUGUUAUUCAAGUUCCUUACAUGUUGCUCGUUCAGUCACAAAGUUCAGAAUGUUCAUCCACAGGCAAUUCAUCUCAAUAUUUCCACCAUCUUGGCCUGUGAAAAUGCUGAAGACAAGUCGGUGCAGGUAAAAUUAAUCAACAGCAAUGUAUUUUCUGGCACUAUACAGAGUAUAUAGUCACAAAUAUGCUCAUAGUAAAUAAGUUAUAUUUCCCCAUGAAUUUACAAACAAGACUAUUUGCACAUUUUGGAUGAAAUAAUCCCCUAUUAAUAUAUUCUCGUAAUUACCAUGUCAACAUCUAGAUUUCAUAUUUUCAUAUUUAGCCACAUUCAGUGGCAACUGCAUUGUCAUCUACCUACUAAACAUAUUAUCCUUAAUUAUAGUACUUUCGAUUCAAUAGUCUUCCCUGAUUGAAGCUAAUUUUGGUAAUUCUUUGUACCCCAAUUCUUGAAUCCUGAGUGUUUAAGAGAAUCCUUGCUCCCAGUUUAUUUUAUUAUUUAGGCUAUUUUUCUUGGCCAGUUCCAGUUAUGAAAGCCUUGGCUGCUCUGAAGGGUAAUCUGUAGGCAUGAGCAUGGGGAAAAUUUUCGGUUCGGCAUUCCGAAAUUCGGGACUUCCGCAGUUCGGGACUUUGGCCCUUCGGGACAUUGGGACUUCUGCAAUUCGGGACUUCCGCAAUUCGACACUUCGGAACUUCCGCAAUUCAACACUUCGGCUGCUCACUGUUAAAAAAAAGAUAAGGGUCCCCACUCCUGAGCCCCCACCCGCAACAGCCUGCUCACUGUUUAAUAGAUAAUUUACUAAUACUAAGUAAUCUUUACUUAGUAUUAGUAAAUGUGGCUGAAAGACCAAUUUAGGUCAUUCAGCCUUUUAGUAGAUAGCUCCCUAAUACCGUGGGAAUUAGGGAGUUAUCUACUUAUUCAUUCCUGUCAUUACAUUGAUAGGCUAAGUAACUUACAUUUUAUAUGAAUGUAUGUUACUUGAUUGUUGUAAGUGUUGCAAAUCCUUACAGCGGAAUCCUGGCUAUGUUUGUAUACUUUUUAUUUAAAGGACCACUCUAGGCACCCAG